rnacentral:misc_RNA from 1 species
AAGUGCACUAGAGAGGCCAGCAACAGCUGAUUCUGUUUCACGCUGCAGAAGCUUCCUUAUUGCUGGCCAAGUCUCACUAUUAGCUCCAUCUAAAAGAGCUUCCACAGGUCCUGAUAAUGCCUCGUUCAGUUUUGCCUCAAACGAUGAUGUGAGUUCAGACAGUUUAACAGCACGGACAGAGGCAACAUGUGUAUCUAUAUCACGUCGCAGCUUAUCCCUGACUUUAGAUGAAUCCCAGUUUGCUUGUUCAAUGACAGCAUCUGCACAUCCUUCGUCAAAUAAAGCCAUGUAAGACUGAGUGCAAGUACGAGCAGCUGAAGAAAACCCUUCCCCUGCAUUCAAAGCCUUAUCAAAUGCUUCCUUGAAUUUCUCAAGAGCUCCUGAUCUUAUAUGUCCUAACAUAGAUUGAUAUGCUGGUUGGACAAGUUGUAGCAAUUUUUCUUCAAGUUGCUUUCGCUUUGCCGAUCUGACUCCUUCAUCAAAAUAAAUAGCUUCUUCAUCAUACUCCAAUAGACAAGCAUUAAGAGUUGAACUAAGCUUCUUUCCAAAGCCAGAGACAGGACUAGAUUGUACAGAGUCUUCUAUUUGACGCCACUCCUCAUUUGCACUGAAAUUAGCAAACUUUUCCUUUGCAAUUUCUUCACAGCGUACAGUAGCAACCAUGACCUUGUGGGCAGGAAGGUCAAGGUCCUUAUUCUCCUUGAUGACUUUCCAGAUUUGUUGAGCACUAAAAGAAAACCCGGAAGCAGGAACUACACCCCGUCGAUCUCCAGCAAGCCCACCAGGCGCAAUAGAAUGGAAAAAGCGUUGCCUCAAAUUAGCCACUUGUUCUUUGAAUUGCUCUUCUUUUUCUUCAUAACUAGAAAGGGCAACAACUUCCACAUUAAAAAAUUCACUUAAUGGAGUUUCCUUGUGUGCUUCUGGCUUGGGAACAGCAUCCCAUAUCUUCUGAAUAUCUU